rnacentral:rRNA from 1 species
GAUGAACGCUGGCGGCGUGCCUAAUACAUGCAAGUCGAGCGAACAGACGAGGAGCUUGCUCCUCUGACGUUAGCGGCGGACGGGUGAGUAACACGUGGAUAACCUACCUAUAAGACUGGGAUAACUUCGGGAAACCGGAGCUAAUACCGGAUAAUAUAUUGAACCGCAUGGUUCAAUAGUGGAAGACGGUUUUGCUGUCACUUAUAGAUGGAUCCGCGCCGCAUUAGCUAGUUGGUAAGGUAACGGCUUACCAAGGCAACGAUGCGUAGCCGACCUGAGAGGGUGAUCGGCCACACUGGAACUGAGACACGGUCCAGACGCCUACGGGAGGCAGCAGUAGGGAAUCUUCCGCAAUGGGCGAAAGCUUGACGGAGCAACGCCGCGUGAGUGAUGAAGGUCUUCGGAUCGUAAAACUCUGUUAUUAGGGAAGAACAAAUGUGUAAGUAACUAUGCACGUCUUGACGGUACCUAAUCAGAAAGCCACGGCUAACUACGUG